rnacentral:rRNA from 1 species
UACAGAGGGGGCAAGCGUUGUUCGGAAUUACUGGGCGUAAAGGGCGCGUAGGCGGCCUUCUAAGUCAGACGUGAAAUCCCCAGGCUUAACUUGGGAACUGCGUCUGAUACUGGGAGGCUUGAGUGCGGGAGAGGGAUGUGGAAUUCCAGGUGUAGCGGUGAAAUGCGUAGAUAUCUGGAGGAACACCGGUGGCGAAGGCGGCAUCCUGGACCGACACUGACGCUGAGGUGCGAAAGCGUGGGGAGCGAACAGG